ncrna:unclassified sequences Hatchet ribozyme sequence
UUCUACACUGUGUGAAUCAGUGUCAACUUUGUGGGGCUUAUAUCUAUUCAUACAGAGCAAGUACGUACGGGAAAGCUUAAAAUACUCAUCUGUAAAAUAGUAUUAGUGCAGACUUUAAAAUCAUGC